UCCUGAACAAUAAAAUUUCCCUACUCAGCUUCACAAAAUCAUUACUGAAUUAUUCACAAGGGAUAAACUACUGAACUCUAUUGAACUGAACUGCCUAUUAAUAAUUGUAUUUAAUUGUUAAAUUGGACCAGCUUUCCCUCCACCAGUAGAAACCAGUUCCUCUACGGCAGGUCCUGGACUAUCAUUGGCGGCAUCUUUGUCACUGGAUAGAGGUUGAUCUUCCACAAAUUGCUUGGAAAGGUGGCUAUGGAAAGGAUUAUUAGAUUGUUGGCGCAUAUUACAUGAAGGAGAGAAAGACUAUACCUAUCACUCGACCAUGUAUAAUAUGUACUCUCGGAUUGACAGGUUCUUGGCAGAGACAUAAAGCCAUGGAACAUCAUGCUGGAUGACAUGGGCCACAUCAAGAUUGGAAACUUCAGGUUGGCGUUGGAGAUGUACAGAAAGAACACAAGAGCAUAUGCUGGCACCAAAGGUUAUAUGGCUCCAGAGACCAAUCAUAUCUGAAAUUCUUUCAGCAGAUGGGAAGAAAUACAAGGAUGCUGUAGAUUGGUCGAACUAUGGUUUCAUCCUAUGUUAGAGGAUAAAGAAAACACUUCAGAAAGAUCCAACUGCUGCCCAAGCUACGCUUCAUGACACCGCAAACCAACCUGAGUGUCAGAGAAAUCAUGUCAAAAUCUCAUGUCAAAAAGAGACAACCAAGCUGGGCAGCCAAUCACUGCACAUAACCCGAUUCACAAAACAUGCUUUGUGAUGUGGAUUAGUGGAACUGAGGCUGACGACUAAACUGAUGAUCUCAUGAUUACAUAAAGGUUGCUAUACAGGACUUUAUGGGAUAUAGUCAGGCCUCAGGGACCAGAAUGAGAGGCUAUAGAUCGAUUAACUUCUUCCUGGUUAAAGAGUGAUUUGCCUCCUGCCAGUUCCACAUGAUGCAAGGUGUCUGAGCCUAAAGC